UGGAUAGUUACAGACAUGCCUUUCUUGGACGUGCAGAAAAGGUUCAGCAUUAACCUAGAUCGGUGGUGGACAAUCUAAAGUGCUGAACAGCCCUACAAGUUUCCUGCUCGAUGCCAUGCUUUUGAAAAAGAAUGGAUAGAACGUGCACAUGGAAUCGGUACUAUCCGGGCAGAGAAAGAGUGCAAGAUAGAAUAUGAUGAUUUCAUAGAGUGUAUACUUCGGACAAAAACAAUGAAACGUAUGGAUACCAUCUGGAGGCAACGGGAAAAACUGAUGAAGGAAGGGAAGUACACCCCUCCACCUCACCACAUGGGCAAGGGGGAGCCUCGGCCCUGAGCAGACACAGCUACUGAUAUCUGGAAGCUGAGUUUCAUGUUCUCUGUUCUCCACUGGAAAGGUUGUUUAUGGAAAACCUCCUUGUCAAAGUGUGGAAAAAUAAAGUAUUGCUCCAUCCUAAAAAAAAAAAAAAAAAAAAACAACAAAAA